CCUGUGAGUAAAGUGGCGUACGGGUGAGUAACACGUGGAUCAUCUACCCUUUUGUGGGGGAUAACCCUGGGAAACCGGGGCUAAUACCGCAUAAGUCCGAGAGGAGAAAGCAGCAAUGCGCAGAAGGAGGAGUCCGCGGCCGAUUAGCUAGUUGGUAGGGUAAAAGCCUACCAAGGCUACGAUCGGUAGCCGGCCUGAGAGGGCACACGGCCACACUGGCACUGAAACACGGGCCAG
rnacentral:rRNA from 1 species